UACGGAGGGUGCAAGCGUUAUCCGGAUUUACUGGGUUUAAAGGGUGCGCAGGCGGAUAUGUAAGUCAGUGGUGAAAUCUCUGGGCUUAACCCGGAAAUUGCCAUUGAUACUAUAUAUCUUGAAUGCUGUGGAGGUAAGCGGAAUAUGUCAUGUAGCGGUGAAAUGCUUAGAUAUGACAUAGAACACCUAUUGCGAAGGCAGCUUACUACGCAGAUAUUGACGCUCAUGCACGAAAGCGUGGGGAGCAAACAGG
rnacentral:rRNA from 1 species